rnacentral:rRNA from 1 species
CCUACGGGAGGCAGCAGUAGGGAAUCUUCCACAAUGGGCGCAAGCCUGAUGGAGCAACACCGCGUGAGUGAAGAAGGGUUUCGGCUCGUAAAGCUCUGUUGUUGGAGAAGAACGUGCGUGAGAGUAACUGUUCACGCAGUGACGGUAUCCAACCAGAAAGUCACGGCUAACUACGUGCCAGCAGCCGCGGUAAUACGUAGGUGGCAAGCGUUAUCCGGAUUUAUUGGGCGUAAACCGAGCGCAGGCGGUUGCUUAGGUCUGAUGUGAAAGCCUUCGGCUUAACCGAAGAAGUGCAUCGGAAACCGGGCAACUUGAGUGCAGAAGAGGACAGUGGAACUCCAUGUGUAGCGGUGGAAUGCGUAGAUAUAUGGAAGAACACCAGUGGCGAAGGCGGCUGUCUGGUCUGCAACUGACGCUGAGGCUCGAAAGCAUGGGUAGCGAACAGGAUUAGAUACCCCGGUAGUC